UACGAAGGGUGCUAGCGUUGUUCGGAAUCACUGGGCGUAAAGCGCGCGUAGGCGGCUAUUCAAGUCAGAGGUGAAAGCCUGGAGCUCAACUCCAGAAUUGCCUUUGAAACUGUAUAGCUGGAGUGUCGGAGGGGAUAGCGGAAUUGCUAAUGUAGAGGUGAAAUUCGUAGAUAUUAGCAGGAACACCGGUGGCGAAGGCGGCUAUCUGGACGACAACUGACGCUGAGGCGCGAAAGCGUGGGGAUCAAACAGG
rnacentral:rRNA from 1 species